rnacentral:rRNA from 1 species
GUCUAUGGCCAUACCACCACUCAGUUUCAUCUGAUCUCAGGAGCUAAGCUGGGUUGGGCCUGAUUUCGUACUUGGAUGGGAGAAGAUGGUAAAGAUAAGGUGUCACUGUCA